UACGGAGGGUGCAAGCGUUGUCCGGAUUUAUUGGGUUUAAAGGGUGCGUAGGCGGUCUUGUAAGUCUGGGGUGAAAGCCCGUUGCUCAACAACGGAACUGCCCUGGAAACUGCGGGACUUGAGUACAGACGAGGGUGGCGGAAUGGAUGCUGUAGCGGUGAAAUGCAUAGAUAGCAUCCAGAACCCCGAUUGCGAAGCAGCUGCCUAGACUGUAACUGACGCUGAGGCACGAAAGCGUGGGGAGCGAACAGG
rnacentral:rRNA from 1 species